CACUGGAACUGAGACACGGUCCAGACUCCUACGGGAGGCAGCAGUAGGGAAUAUUGCGCAAUGGGCGAAAGCCUGACGCAGCAAUGCCGCGUGAGUGAGGAAGGCCUUCGGGUUGUAAAGCUCUGUCGCAGGUGAAAAACGGCUUAAUGGGUAAUACCCGUUAUGUUUGAUGGUACCCUGAAAGGAAGCACCGGCUAACUUCGUGCCAGCAGCCGCGGUAAUACGAAGGGUGCGAGCGUUGUUCGGAUUUAUUGGGCGUAAAGCGCGCGUAGGCGGAUUCGUAAGUCAGGUGUGACAUCUCGGGGCUCAACCCCGAAACUGCGCCUGAAACUGUGGAUCUAGAAUCUCGGAGAGGGAAGGAGAAUUUCCCAUGUAGGGGUAAAAUCCGUAGAGAUGUGAAGGAACACCAGAGGGCGAAGGCGCCUUCCUGGACGAGCAUUGACGCUGAGGCGCUGAAAGCGUGGGGAGCAAACCAGGAUUAGAUACCCUGGUAGUCCACGCCGUAAACGAUGAGCACUAGCUAUUGGGGCCGUUAGGUCGCGUUGGCGCAGCUAACGCAUUAAGUGCUCCGCCUGGGGAGUACGGUCGCAAGACUGAAACUCAAAGGAAUUGACGGGGGCCCGCACAAGCGGUGGAUCAUGUGGUUUAAUUCGAAGCAACGCGAAUAACCUUACCUGGGCUUGAAAUCCUGCGAACCUGCUAGAGAUAGCGGGGUGCCCGUUUAGGGAAUGCAGAGACAGGCGCUGCAUGGCUGUCGUCAGCUCGUGUCGUGAGAUGUUGGGUUAAGUCUCGCAACGAGCGCAACCCCUGUUGCUAGUUGCCAGCAUUAAGUUGGGCACUCUAGUGAGACUGCCUGGGUUAACCAGGAGGAAGGUGGGGAUGACGUCAAGUCCUCAUGGCCCUUAUGUCCAGGGCUACACACGUGAUACAAUGGUCGGUACAGAGGGAUGCCAACCCGCGAGGGGGAGCAAAUCUCAAAAAGCCGAUCUCAGUCCGGAUUGGAGUCUGUAACUCGACUCCAUGAAGUUGGAAUCGCUAGUAAUCGCGGAUCAGCAUGCCGCGGUGAAUACGUUCCCGGGCCUUGUACACACCGCCCGUCACACCAUGGGAGUUAGCUCAACCUGAAGUCGUGACCCCAACCCUUUUGGG
rnacentral:rRNA from 1 species